UUUUUACAACUAGAUGGAGACUUACAACGAACUGUUCAGUUUCUUCAACAAAAAAAUGUCGGUGUAGUGAUUCGUGAUGAGCAUGAUUUCAAUGUUGUUCAUAUUUCUAAUGCAAUGGAAAAGGAAAAUGCAAAGGCAAUGUCGAAAGGAAAAGAAAAGGUGUCUUAUGCUUCCAAGGGCAAGGGAAAGGAAAAUGCAUGUCCAGCGGUAUAGUUCUUAAUGGUUUUUGUAAAGUUUUUUUUUUUUUUUAAAUUGUUAGUU